GGGGUCAUAAUUUAGUUGGUAAAAUGGUAACUUUGCAAGUUAUUCUGGAAAGUUCGAGUCUCUCUGACUCCA